rnacentral:rRNA from 1 species
UACGUAGGGUGCAAGCGUUGUCCGGAAUUAUUGGGCGUAAAGCGCGCGCAGGUGGUUUCUUAAGUCUGAUGUGAAAGCCCACGGCUCAACCGUGGAGGGUCAUUGGAAACUGGGAGACUUGAGUGCAGAAGAGGAAAGUGGAAUUCCAUGUGUAGCGGUGAAAUGCGUAGAGAUAUGGAGGAACACCAGUGGCGAAGGCGACUUUCUGGCCUGUUCUUGACGCUGGAGGCGCGAAAGCUAGGGGAGCAAACGGGAUUAGACUACCCG